rnacentral:tRNA from 1 species
AACGAAAUUAAUACAAGUCUUCUAAAUUUGUUGUAGGGUUACCUGUUCGUUU